rnacentral:lncRNA from 11 species
GCUGGAAGGUGUCCAGACGAAGAAAGCAACCCAAAGGAUGAGCAAUCCCUAUGAGGAGCAUCCGAAAGAGCUGGGUCUGUUUAUCCUGCAGAAGAGAAGGUGGAGAAAGAGAGACACGAGAGGAGCCGUGUAUCAGUAUGUGAAAGGCUGUCCUAAGGAGGAGGCUUCAGGCUUCCUUUCUGCUGCCCUGGGUUCAAAUGACAGGGAAGGAGAUUAUUAGGAAGGACUUCCUGACCAUAAGCAGAGCUGUUCAGCAGUGGAACUCUCUGCCUUGGAGUCUGGGAUCUUGCGACUCACCUUUCCCAUCUUUUCCAGACGCAUCGUUCUUGGCGAGAGCAAAAGUAAAGGCAGACGCGGAAUAUUACACAGCGCAGAAGGCGGCCCAAUCGAACAAGCUCAAGCUCACCCCGGCCUACCUGUCGCUGGAGCGGGACCGGGCCAUUGCCGCCAACAGCCGGCUGUACUUUGGCCGUGGACUCCCCGACCACCUCUUCCUGGGCUCCUGCGCCUUCGAGGCCGCGGUCGCCCAGGAGGCCGUGCGGCGGCAGCAGGAAGCCGCGGGGAAGCCGCGUGAUUGACAUUUCGUCCAUGCACUUCCACCGUCCUCGAGGGGGGAAGAAGUAUGGCUGCGGUGCCUCUCGUCAGCCUCGGCGGAUCUAGAUCCCUUUCCCCUUCAAUUGGAAACUGGAAACGGGAGGUCCCCUUUAGUUUCAUUCCUUUGAUGAGCCAAAGGAAUCUGCCACAAAGUCUGAGUCGACUGGAAUCUUUGCAACGCUGCUGCAGGUGGAACCGGAAACGAUUUUGGUAUAAAAGCGUGUGUUCUUGGGAAGCCGGGUAUGCAACACUUUGAUCUUUGGAAUUAAGGAGGAAUAAAAGAACUAUUUUCAUAGCUUUUUCCGCUAGCAGUGGCAUCCUCUCUCUGCUGUUGGAGUCUCGGGGCAAUAAGGAAAUAUUAGGUAAAGGUCAAGGUUUCCCCUGACGUUAAGUUCAGUCCUGUCCGACUCUGGGGGUUCGUGCUUAUGUCCGUUUCUAAGCCCAAGAGCCGGCAUUGUCCGUAGACUCCUCCAAGGUCAUGUGGCCACUGGCAUUACGCCAUGGAUCCCCAAUGUUACCUUCCCGCCGGAGCAGUACCUAUUGAUCUACUCACAUUGGCAUGUUUUUGAACUGCUAGGUUGGCAGAAACUGGAGUUAAUAGCGGGCGCUCACCCCGCUUCCCCGGAUUCGAACCUGCGACUUUUCGGUCUGCAAGUUCAGCAGCUCAGUGCUUCAACACACUGCACCAGCGGGGGCUCCAAGGCGAUAUUACUGUGAUAUUAUGCAGGUAUAUUGAUAAUAGAAAUAAUACAGGAAGAGCCCCCGAUGGCGCAGUGGGUUAAACCGCUGAGCUGCUGAACUUGCAGACCGAAAGGACCAAGAACCAAGAACAAAAUCCUGGCUACGGGCCUGAUAAGGAGGGAUUAAGGAUUAAGCCUGUUCAACGUCAAAUGACGUCAUGAUUUUACAAAUUAAGGAUCAAAACCUCAUGUUUUACAACAAAUUGACAGAAAAAAACAAUUCAAUAUAUGGUCACGUGAUGUAGCAAUUACUGUAUUUACGAAUUUAGCACCAAAAAUCACAAUGUAUUGAAAACGUUGACUACAAAAACAUUGACUACUAAGAGGCCGACUAAGAGCCGGGACUCUACUGUACAUAUACAGUAGAGUCUCACUUAUCCAACAUAAACGGGCCAGCAGAGCGUUGGAUAAGCAAAUAUGUUGGAUAAUAAGGAGAGAUUAAGGGAAAGCCUAUUAAACAUCAAAUUUGGUUAUGAUUUUACAAAUGAAGCACCAAAAUAUCAUGUUAUACAACAAAUUUAACAGAAAAAGUAGUUCAAUAGGCAGUAAUGCUACGUAGUAAUUACUGUAUUUACGAAUUUAGCACCAAAAUAUCACGAUGUAUUGAAAACAUUGACGACAAAUAUGCGUUGGAUAACGUUGGAUAAGCGAGUGUUGGAUAAGUGAGACUCGACUGUAAUUCCUCCAGAGACGCAGAUCUGGGCGCCUGAGGGGAAGGAGAAGGCCUUUCUCUGGGGCUCCCCUUCCCGUCUCCUUUCGGCCCAAGUGUUUAACGGAGUUGUGUAUAAAUCUUAACUGUCUUCUCAAUUCGCUUUUGACGCCAGAAAAAAAUAAAUGCAUUCCCUUUCCCGCCUCUCUUUGGGGCGCCCGCCAUCUUUGGUCCGGGCGGAAGUCUAGAGAGAGCGGCGGGCUGCGCUUCCUAGAGAGGCGGAGGAGGAGGAGGCUUCCUCCUGAGCUCACUUCCGGAUGAGGAGGAGGCGGGAAAGCGAAGGCCUUAAUGGCGGCGGGAGAGAGAGAGACAGGAGGACGGUAAGGGGGAGCGUGUUCUGGGGCCCGGAGAACAAGCCCAGAUAAACACACCCAAACAGGACAA